AAGAGAAAGGAGCUCAUGAGAAGGGGCAAUUUUACUGCCAGGGAGGUUGCUCAUAUACCAUCCUGGGAAAGAGGUCUUUUGUAACAGCAGCAUCAUAUACAGUAUUAGCUGUACUGUGCUGUUGCAGUAAAAACAUUCUUCCCUUGUCUCUUAAAAAAAUAUCACCUUUCUGCCAAGGCAGCAGCAGCUCCAAGGUUUGACAAAAAAAAGGCUGAGUAAGAAGCUGGAAAGUUCAUUUUCUUCCACACUGCAUCUUCACAAAACUCUCCUAGACUGACCUCAAGUUCUACAUAAGCAUGGGUUAAUGGGGGAAGCAUAGGUAAAGAUCCUCGCCUUGCAGACAGAGAAAUGAAGGCACAGAAAAAUGACAUUUCGGUGAUCGUGCAGAAUAUGACACCGUGCACAAAUGAAUGCCUGGAAGGCAACACCUACUGGCAGGAAUAUAGAGAAGGUUAAGGACAGAAUCUCCUACCCCUCUGCUAAUAAGCAGCCAUGUUUCACUCUUGCUAUCUGCUUAUGGGAGAUAGCUACCUAGGUCACCUUGUUUUCCAAUCUUUGUUUAGCACUUUAAAAAAAACUAAGCUGAGGUGAGAGAAGCGGUACCAGUUCGUUCCUGUUUUAUAUUCCAGCCUUCACCUUGGUUACAAACUCCUCCCAGAAUAUAACUGAGGGGGAAACAAAAGCAAUAGGUACGCUUCAUGCACUAUUUGUUGCUGCUAUUGCUUCAGAUGCAAAGAUGCAAGAAAUCAGAUGAUCACCUAUUUUAAUGAUCAGAGGUAUUAGACUAAGGACAGGUAACUUCAAAGCCAAAAGCAACAUUCAGCUCUCACAGAAACCCAGAAAUGCCUCCUACCACUCGCUUGUGGUCUCCAGCUGCCAGCAAUACCACGUCAUCCACCUGCAUGUUCAGCACUCGGCUGAGCUCUGACUGCUGCUCCUCACCAAGGAACUUUGUGAGCAGAGACUUCAAGCUCCCAUCGGGCCUGCAGAUAACAUCCACGAUUUCCUAUUGCAAGAUCAGUAAAAAGAGUAUGUUCAGCAUGACUCAGUCAACGAUCUCCUCAGAGUACUAAAUGAUGUAAUGAUGACAAGGAUGGACACAGAAACCUUGAAUGGACCCAGCUAACCCUGCCUGGGUCUCAAGGCUGAAGGAAGGGAUGGCCAGCUCCACAGGACAGGAGCAGACAUGCAUCAUCAAGCACCACCACUGCUGCAACACAAUGCCCGCAUCUGCUCAUCAGCACCUGGGACUGAACAGUCAGCCAAGGACAGUUACAACUUUCUUUGUGUCCCACACUGACUGCAGGGGGCUGUGGCUGCAAAACAGGCAGAGAACAACAUUCCACAUCCCUGAGGCAGGACAAGAACCAACAGACACUAAGUUUUCAAAAGAUAAAACAGCUGCAAGCUGUUUGGGUGAGGGGGAGGGUGAAAGGCAGUGCAAACUGGUUACCUGAGUGAAUUCUGGCUGCCUGUCAGGCCGCGAGCCUUCAUCGCGGUAGCAGCGAGCAACCUGGAAGUAUCUGCAAGAGUACUUACAUUUAGAUGACAAUUAAAGAUACCUUACAUUAA